AUUGAACGCUGGCGGCAUGCUUUACACAUGCAAGUCGAGCGGCAGCGCGGGGGCAACCCUGGCGGCGAGCGGCGAACGGGUGAGUAAUGCAUCGGAACGUAUCCUCGAUUGGGGGAUAACCCAGCGAAAGUUGGGCUAAUACCGCAUGAGCUCUGAGGAGGCAAGCGGGGGAGCUUCGAGGGCCUCGCGCUGGAGGGGCGGCAGAUGUCGGCUUAGCUCGUGGGUGGGGUAAAGGCUUACCAGGGCGACGAGCGGUAGCUGGGCUGAGAGGAGGGUCAGCCACAUGGGAGGUGAGACGGGGCCCAGACUCCUGCGGGAGGCAGCAGUGGGGAAUGUUAGGCAAUGGGGGCAACCCUGAUACAGCAAUGCCGCGUGAGUGAAGAAGGCGUUCGGGUUGGAAAGCUCUUUCGGACGGAACGAAAUGGGCGGGCCUAAUACGCCGGGCUAAUGACGGUACCGUAAGAAGAAGCACCGGCUAACUACGUG
rnacentral:rRNA from 1 species